rnacentral:rRNA from 1 species
GAUGAACGCUGGCGGCGUGCUUAACACAUGCAAGUCGAACGGAAAGGCCCAAGCUUGCUUGGGUACUCGAGUGGCGAACGGGUGAGUAACACGUGGGUGAUCUGCCCUGCACUUCGGGAUAAGCCUGGGAAACUGGGUCUAAUACCGGAUAGGACGACGGUUUGGAUGCCAUUGUGGAAAGUUUUUUCGGUGUGGGAUGAGCUCGCGGCCUAUCAGCUUGUUGGUGGGGUAAUGGCCUACCAAGGCGUCGACGGGUAGCCGGCCUGAGAGGGUGUACGGCCACAUUGGGACUGAGAUACGGCCCAGACUCCUACGGGAGGCAGCAGUGGGGAAUAUUGCACAAUGGGGGCAAGCCUGAUGCAGCGACGCCGCGUGGGGGAUGACGGCCUUCGGGUUGUAAACUCCUUUCGCUAGGGACGAGGCGUUUUUGUGACGGUACCGGGAGAAGAAGCACCGGCUAACUACGUG